rnacentral:rRNA from 1 species
AUGGCGUCGGCGGCGGCGGCGGCGCUGGCGGCGGCGGGGAAGCGAGAGUUAUCCGAGGACGACCUGUACCUCAUCCUCCACAAGUACUCGCCGGCGACGAUCCUGACGGCACUGCAGGAGGUGACGCAGCACGCGCAGCGGAGGAGCAUCGACUGGCGGGCGCUGGUGGCCAAGACGGCCACGGGGAUCACCUCCGCCCGCGAGUACCAGAUGCUCUGGCGCUACAUCGCCUACGGGCAUGACUUCGUCGAGAACGUCGAGGACGGCAGCCCCCAGCCACUGGGUGAUGAGAGCGACUUGGAGUGUGAGAUUGAACCCUCUCCUAAGCCGAGCAACGAAGCCGCAGCUGAGGCCUCACGGUUCGCCAAGAUCUUGAUGUAUGGACCUUCACGCGAGCAAGGUUCUAGUCAUCGUGCUAACUCAGAUGUUCCUCUGCUAAACACUCCAAAUGAAAAGAUACCACGUGUUUCAUCUGACAAACAGCUUGCUCAGAGCCAUCGUCUAACAAAUGGUACAGGUCCAGUUUCCAACUCAAAGCAGGCACCCCAUACAGGGUUAUCUCCUGAUUCUUUUGAUGGGAAUGGACCUCAUAAUAAAAAGACAAAGAAGACUAAAGCAUGGACUAAGGAUGAGGAUGCAGAGUUAAUGGCUGGUGUACAUAAGUGUGGUGAAGGAAAUUGGCUGGACAUUCUGCGUAAAUAUAACUUCGAUAGCACAAGAACUUAUGGUCAAUUGUCUCAGAGAUGGGCAGUAAUUUCCAAGCGUCAAGCAACAACCAAGCCUGCUAAAGCUAAACCAGUCACCGGGGGAUAUGAUAUGAAAGCUACUCAAAAGGCAUUCUUUAUGGCUCUUGAUAUGCCUAUGGGGAAGCCUGGUGGAUUGUCUACAUUAAGAUCAGGAGCUUCACAACAAAGCACUCAACAUUCUGCUCCAGUAUUUGGUGCUGCGGCACCUGAGUUAAAAUCUGCAACAUCAUCAUCAUUCUCGUUGCCAGUACCGGUGCCAAGUGCAGCCCCUGGGGUUGUGUCAGCACAAGUGCAGGUUCAACCUCCUCGGGUGCAACAGGCUCCUCCUCAAGCUGCGCCCUCAAAAGUGUCAAAUGCUUCAAUCAAGUCACGAAAUAGCUCUAAGAAGCAAACUGCACAAGCAAAUCCUACAAAUGCUCCUUCAUCUAUACAAGCUGCAGCUAUUGCUGCCGGUGGACGAAUCGCCACAGCAAGCAUCGCCACCAAUUUAUUGAAAGCUGCACAAUCCCCGCAAGCUGUGCACAUAAGAUCUCGAGGAAAAGGGUCUUCAAAAACUUCUACAAGCUCUAAAGCAUCCACCAUGGCUGGCGAGCCUGGAACACAGACUGGCAGUGCUCAACACCCAGAACUUCUAAACUGCAGUGCCCCUACACCAUCUCCUACGGUUUUGAUAACACAGUCAACCGAGCAAGUUAAUGUUGUGCCAGAAGUUGCAGGAGUUAAUCCCCCGGAACAAUCUGCUAGUGCACAUUUGUUGGAACCUGAUAGAACAUUGAGCACCACACCAGUGCCUGGCCCAUGCGACAAUAUGGAGAUUGACGACGACUCAACAUUUUGUGUAGUCACGAUGGAGGACUUGUUUCCUGAAGACGUGAAGCAGCCAGAGACGGUGAGUCAGCCAGAGAUGGUGAGGCAGCCAGAGACAGUGAGGCCGCCAGAGACGGUGAGUCAGCCAGAGAUGGUGAGGCAGUCAGAGACGGUGAGGCAGCCAGAGAUGGUGAAGCAGCCAGAGAUGGUAGAUCCCAAAGCCGAGGAGAUGAUAGAUCCCAAGGAUGCUGACAUGCUGGAGUUCGAUCGCUUUGUUGCCCAAGGAUGCUUGACUACAGAUUAUUCUGAUAAAAGCAAAGGUGUCAAAAUUGCUCCUGGAGCUCAAGGCGCUACUGCCAGCCAGAAGAAGAAGCAGCUACCCACAGUUGGGAAAAGCAUCCCUGUGUUUAGAGCACCAGUAAUCAUGAAGAAGACCAAAGCUCUAGCUUCACAUGGGGCGACGCUUGCAUCAACAGUCACCUCUAGUGGCCUUGUUGGCACAGGCAAUGCUGGUGUGCUGAGUAAAGCAAUAUAUCGGAAGCCAGCUGGUCCAGGCACCACAGGCAAACAAAAUAGGUGCCAAGAAAUAAUGGCCCAGAAGCAGCAUGCUAUAAACUCAAAUAGUAGCGCAAUGGCCAGGAAUGCGGCUCCCGGCACCGGAACACCAGCCAGGAAUGUGGCUGCCGGCGUUGGAGCACCAGCCAGGAAUGCGGCUCCCGCCACCGGAACACCAGCUAAAAGUGCGGCUCCUGCCACUGGACCAUCAGCUAAAAAUGCGGCUCCUGCCAGUGGAACACCAGCCAGGAACACAGCUCCUGCCACUGGAACACCACCAGUCAGGAAUAUGGCUCCUGGCACUGGAACACCACCAGUCAGGAACACGGCUCCCGGCACUGGAACACCACCAGUCAGGAACACGGCUCCUGGCACUGGAACACCACCGGCCAGGAACUUGGCUCCCGGCACAGCAACACCACUAGUCAGGAACACGGCUCCCGGCACUGCAACACCACCGGCCAGGAACUUGCUCACCGGCACAGGAACACCACCGGCCAGGAACUCGCUCACCGGCACAGUUACACCACCGGCCAGGAACUUGCUCACCGGCACAGGAACACCACCAGCCAGGAAUGCGGCUCCUGUCACCGGAGCACCACCAGCCAGGAACUUGCUUACCGUCACCGGAACACCACCAGCCAUUCGCCAACAUAACCCAGCGGUGAAUGGGGCUAGCAAGGGGAAUCUGCCGGCCAGCCAAUAG